AUAAUUAGUAUAUUAUAUUGUUUUAUUGUUAAUUUAUUUUUUAAUAAAAAUAAUUUUGUUGUUUUGUUGUUUUAGUAUAUUUUAUAGAAUUAAUUAUUUAAGUUAUAGUAAAAUAGUAAUGUAAUUGGUUUAUGAAAUAUCUUUUAUUUUGUGGAAAGUAAAUUUAGUUUAUUGUACCUUUUGUAUCAGGGUUAAUUAAAAUUUAAUUAUAUAUUUAAUUAUCUCGAUUUAGAUUGAUUUAUAAUAAAUUUUUUUUUAAUGUUUUAUAAUUAUUUAAAAAUUUAUUAUGGAAAUGAAAUGUUAAUCGUUUUCUAAGAUAUCUAGUUUCUUAAGAAAAAUUUUAAUUUUUAAAAGUUAAUUUGUUUUUACUUAAUUAUAUAGGUUUAAAUAUUAAUUUAUUAUUUUUUAGGGGAUAAGCUCUAAAAUUAAUAUCCUAUAAUUAUUAGUUUAUAAAAUUUAAUAAUAAGCUUUAAACCAGCUAUUUUUAUGAUUACGUUUUAGUUCAUUAUUUUUAUUUUUGAUUUUAUAAUUAUUUUAGGUUUAUUAUUAGGAUAAAAAAUAUAAUUUGUUUAUUUUUAUAAUAAUGAUUAAAUUAGUAUAAUUGUUAGUUUAUAAUAUUUUUUAUAAAAAUUUAUUAUAAGGAACUAGGCAAAUUAAAUUUCCGCCUGUUUAUCAAAAACAUGUCCUCUUGAUAAAUAUUUUGAGGUCUAGUCUGCUCACUGAUAAUUUUAAAUAGCCGCGGUAUUUUGACCGUGCAAAGGUAGCAUAAUCAUUAGUCUUUUAAUUGAAGGCUGGUAUGAAUGGCUUGACGAGAAAUUAACUGUCUCUUAAUAAAGUUUAGAAUUUAACUUUUAAGUUAAAAGGCUUAAAUUAAUUUUUAGGACGAGAAGACCCUAUAGAGCUUUACAUUUAUAUUAUAUUUGGUUUUUAGUUAAUUUUUUCAUAUUUAUUGAUAAUGUUUUGUUGGGGUGACAUGAAGAAUAAACAAACUUUUCAUUUUUAAAUCAUUGAUUUAUGUAUAUUAUGAUCCAUAAUUUAUGAUCAUAAGAUUAAGUUACCUUAGGGAUAACAGCGUAAUUAUUUUUGAAAGCUCAUAUUGACAAAAUAGAUUGCGACCUCGAUGUUGGAUUAAGAAUAGUUACGGGUGCAGUAGCCCGUUAAUUAGGUCUGUUCGACCUUUAAAUUCUUACAUGAUCUGAGUUCAGACCGGCGUAAGCCAGGUCGGUUUCUAUCCUAAAAUAUAUAUUAAUUUAUAUUAGUACGAAAGGACCAUAUAAAUGGAAUAAUUUUUUUAUAUUGUUUAACAUUAAAAUU
rnacentral:rRNA from 1 species